rnacentral:RNase_P_RNA from 1 species
AGAGUCGGCCAUACAGUCGCUGCCCAGCUUGCUGGGGAGAGGAAAGUCCGGGCUCCACAGGGCAAGACGCCAGGUAACGCCUGGGAGGCGUGAGCCUACGGAAAGUGCCACAGAAAUGACACCGCCUAUGUGCCUUCGGGUGCAGGUAAGGGUGAAAUGGUGCGGUAAGAGCGCACCGCGCUGGUGGUAACAUCAGUGGCAGGGUAAACCCCGUCCGGAGCAAGACCAAAUAGGGAAACAGACCGUUCGCGGUCAGGUGUGGCCCACACCGUUUCCGGGUAGGUCGCUUGAGACACGUGGUGACGCGUGUCCUAGAUGAAUGACUGUGCUCGACAGAACCCGGCUUACCGGCCGACUCUUAUU